AAUUGCCUUUAAUAAUUUUAAACAUAUUUAAUGACAAAAUUGGUUAAGUUUUAAGAGCAUAACAAUAAAUGGACAGCAAGGGUUACAAAUCUUAACAGCUGAACAUGUUAAACUUAUUGCAAUGAUUAAUGAUUUAUCAUCAGAGAUUGAAUCCAGUGCAAUUUUGGAAAAAUCCCGUCUGCUGAUUGAAGAAAAAAUCAAACGACUUGAAUGUAAUUAAAUAAUUUUGUCAUAUUGGAAUGUUAUUAAUGUAAAUAUUUUAGAUGAAGACAUUGAUGAAUUUCAACUAAAUGAAAACGCAGGAAUACUUACAACACAUUUUAAAAAUACUGAUGAAUCAGAUACUGACAUAAUGGUAAAUAAUUUAAUUCCAAGGAGAAUGUGAUUUAUCAAAUAAUAAUUGUUAUACAUUCAUAUUAUUUUAGUCUCUUAUUUCAAUGCCUUCAAUCAGACAAAAAGAAAUCAAUAAAGUUAGUGAAGAAAUAAUGGAACUGAUUAACAAACCAACGGUUAAAGAAAUAUCUCUUGCAGAAAAAUUCCAAUCCAAAGGAGGUAAGCAAUUUUUUGAUUGUGUUAUUGUAAGAAUAUUAAAGUUUCUAAUUUUUUAUUAUAGGAACACAUGUUAUGCAAUUUUGUCCUCAUGGUACACGAGCUGACUGCAUGGAGGGACAUGUUUGUAAUAAACUUCAUUUUAAAAAAAUUAUCCAAAAACAUACUGACGAAGCUUUAGGUGAUUGUUCUUUUUUAAACACUUGUUUCCACAUGGAUUCUUGUAAGUAAGUGUUGAAACAUUUUAU